UCUCCACUGCUUCUCAGCCAGCCAACGCCUCUUCUGAUUGGCUCUGACGUGCGUGGUGCGUGAUAACGUCACGAGACGCCGGCGUUACUAUAAGAGCGCAGCCGUGGCGCUUGCGCGCCUCUUUCUCAGUGACCGGGUGGUUCGCUCAGGCGCAGACGGGGAAGCGGAGCCAACAUGCCAGUGGCCCGAAGCUGGGUUUGUCGCAAAACUUAUGUGACCCCGCGGAGACCCUUCGAGAAAUCUCGUCUCGACCAAGAGCUGAAGCUGAUCGGCGAGUAUGGGCUCCGGAACAAACGUGAGGUCUGGAGGGUCAAAUUUACCCUGGCCAAGAUCCGCAAGGCCGCCCGGGAACUGCUGACGCUUGAUGAGAAGGACCCACGGCGUCUGUUCGAAGGCAACGCCCUGCUGCGGCGGCUGGUCCGCAUUGGGGUGCUGGAUGAGGGCAAGAUGAAGCUGGAUUACAUCCUGGGCCUGAAGAUAGAGGAUUUCUUAGAGAGACGUUUGCAGACCCAGGUCUUCAAGCUGGGCUUGGCCAAGUCCAUCCACCACGCUCGCGUGCUGAUCCGCCAGCGCCAUAUCAGCCCUCGGAGGUGAUGGGUGUGAGCUCACCCAGAGGGUACAGAUUCACCCUUGCACACAGCUCACCAGGGAGCUGGGGCAGCCUCUUGCCCCAAUAGCCCAGCGCAAGGGUCACUGCGGCUCUAGCCGUACACCUUGUGAAGGCCUCUGCCAGGCAUGUGGGCAGCUGGACAGGGUCCGCAAGCAGGUGGUGAACAUCCCGUCCUUCAUUGUCCGCCUGGAUUCCCAGAAGCACAUUGACUUCUCUCUGCGCUCUCCCUAUGGGGGUGGCCGCCCAGGCCGCGUGAAGAGGAAGAACGCCAAGAA